rnacentral:pre_miRNA from 10 species
AGGCACCCCUAUCUCCACCCACGCGGCCGCCACAUGGCAGCCGAGCGAGGGCCUCGGGGUAACUC